GAAAAGGUUUUGAUUGAGACAAGUAGGGUAUCUGAUUGUUCAAGAGAGCUGAUGGCCGGUGAAAAUCAGCACAUAAGAUAUGCCGAAUACACUCAUGAACCGCUUUUGCGAACAAAGCCCUUCCAAGGCUUUCAGUAGUGAAAGAACGGACACGGUCCGUUAUCAAAAAGAGUGAUAAAAGCUUUUUUAUGCUUUUAUUAGUAGGGUGGUACCGCGAUUAUAUCGUCCCUUCG
rfam:Bacillus amyloliquefaciens FZB42, complete genome.